UUAACCCUUGGCGGAUGCCUACACAUGCAAGUCGAGCGGCAGCAGGUCCUUCGGGAUGCUGGCGAGCGGCGGACGGGUGAGUAACACGUGGGAAUCUGCCCAUCGGUGGGGGAUAGCCCGAGGAAACUCGGAUUAAUACCGCAUACGCCCUACGGGGCAAAGUAGACCUCUGAUUUAAGUUUACGCCGAUGGAUGAGCCCGCGGCCGAUUAGCUAGUUGGUGGGGUAAAGGCCUACCAAGGCAACGAUCGGUAGCUGGUCUGAGAGGACGAUCAGUCACACCGGAACUGAGACACGGUCCGGACUCCUACGGGAGGCAGCAGUGGGGAAUAUUGGACAAUGGGCGAAAGCCUGAUCCAGCAAUGCCGCGUGGGUGAAGAAGGCUUGAGGGUUGUAAAGCCCUUUCAGCAGGGAGGAAAAGCGUACGGUUAAUACCCGUGCGUCUUGACGUUACCUGCAGAAGAAGCACCGGCUAACUCCGUGCCAGCAGCCGNGGGUAAUA
rnacentral:rRNA from 1 species